UACAGAGGCCUCAAGCGUUGUUCGGAUUCAUUGGGCGUAAAGGGUGCGUAGGUGGCUUGGUAAGUUGAAGGCGAAAUCUCGGGGCUUAACUCCGAAACUGCCUUCAAUACUGCUGAGCUCGAGGAUUGUAGAGGAGAAUGGAAUUCACGGUGUAGCAGUGAAAUGCGUAGAUAUCGUGAGGAAGACCAGUGGCGAAGGCGAUUCUCUGGGCAAUUCCUGACACUGAGGCACGAAGGCUAGGGGAGCAAACGGG
rnacentral:rRNA from 1 species